UACGAAGGGUGCAAGCGUUACUCGGAAUUACUGGGCGUAAAGCGUGCGUAGGUGGUGAGUUAAGUCUGUCGUGAAAGCCCAGGGCUCAACCCUGGGAUGCCGGUCGAUACUGCCGGACUAGAGUUCGGAAGAGGCGAGUGGAAUUCCCGGUGUAGCGGUGAAAUGCGUAGAUAUCGGGAGGAACAUCAGUGGCGAAGGCGGCCCUCUGGUCCAGUACUGACACUCAAGUGCGAAAGCGUGGGGAGCAAACAGG
rnacentral:rRNA from 1 species